rnacentral:rRNA from 1 species
GACAGAGGUGCCGAGCGUUAGGCGGAAUCACUGGGCUUAAAGCGUGUGUAGGCGGGCCGUUAAGUAUCUUGUGAAAUCCCCCGGCUCAACCGGGGAAUGGCUGGAUAUACUGGCGGUCUUGAGCAGUCUAGGGGCAGAUGGAACAGACGGUGGAGCGGUGAAAUGCGUAGAUAUCGUCUGGAACGCCAAAGGUGAAGACAGUCUGCUGGGGACUUGCUGACGCUGAGACACGAAAGCUAGGGGAGCGAACGGG